UAAGGUAGCGAAAUUCCUUGUCGGGUAAGUUCCGACCUGCACGAAUGGCGUAAUGAUGGCCACGCUGUCUCCACCCAAGACUCAGUGAAAUUGAAAUCGCUGUUAAGAUGCAGUGUACCCGCGGCUAGACGGAAAGACCCCGUGAACCUUUACUAUAGCUUCACAUUGGUAUUGGGUAAUUCAUGUGUAGGAUAGGUGGGAGACUUUGAUGCUGCGUCGCUAGGCGUAGAGUAGUCGUUGUUGAAAUACCACCCUUGAAUUAUCUGAUGCCUAACCCGAUGAGGGGACAUUGUGUGGUGGGUAGUUUGACUGGGGCGGUCGCCUCC
rnacentral:rRNA from 14 species